GUAGAUGCUCAUUCCACCUCUUAUGUUCGCCUUAGGCUUCAUAAACCCUGGGAAUGACGCAGAGCCGAUUUAGGGUGCCUAUCGCCCACGAGAACGAUGACUAACCCGUCAUCACGCUCAGGGCAGAACGUUGAGUGAGGCACCGCCCCUGUUGUCCUAGACCUGAUUGCUUCUUUAUACACUUGCCAUACGGCAAGUGUUUUUUU
rfam:Serratia marcescens subsp. marcescens Db11, complete genome